GUGCGAGUGUUUUUAUGAUCUGACAAGAAUUUAUAUUCAGUUGUAUUUACAAUUAUGAAAAUAUUAUUGUGCACAGAAAAUGUAUAGUUUUAUUAAGUGUAGUGAGUUGCGUUAAUGAUAUUUAUAAAAAAUACUUAUAAAAAAAAUAUAUAUGAGAAUGGUGAUUAACCUAAAUAACAAGAUUAAUAUGUAACUGUGUUACAACUCCGCUGCUGCGCAUCGCGAACCGAAAACUGGGUGUGAAACAUUCUCAAAUAUCUUAUUUUCAAGAUAUUUUCAAUAAUUGUGGUCAUCAUACGUGUGUACGUAUACAUAUCUUAUACUGAAUUAGACUGAACUGUUAGUUUGUAUGAGACAUUGAUUAUGUAAUAUGUUUUAAAAUAUAUAUUUUAAAAAA